GAUGAACGCUGGCGGCGUGCCUAAUACAUGCAAGUCGAGCGAACGGGCGAGAAGCUUGCUUCUCUGAUGUUAGCGGCUGACGGGUGAGUAACACGUGGAUAACCUACCUAUAAGACUGGGAUAACUUCGGGAAACCGUAGCUAAUACCGGAUAAUAUUUUGAACCGCAUGGUUCAAAAGUGAAAGACGGUCUUGCUGUCACUUAUAGAUGGAUCCGCGCUGCAUUAGCUAGUUGGUAAGGUAACGGCUUACCAAGGCAACGAUGCAUAGCCGACCUGAGAGGGUGAUCGGCCACACUGGAACUGAGACACGGUCCAGACUCCUACGGGAGGCAGCAGUAGGGAAUCUUCCGCAAUGGGCGAAAGCCUGACGGAGCAACGCCGCGUGAGUGAUGAAGGUCUUCGGAUCGUAAAACUCUGUUAUUAGGGAAGAACAUAUGUGUAAGUAACUGUGCACAUCUUGACGGUACCUAAUCAGAAAGCCACGGCUAACUACGUG
rnacentral:rRNA from 1 species